rnacentral:rRNA from 1 species
AGUGAACGCUGGCGGUAGGCCUAACACAUGCAAGUCGAACGGCAGCACAGUAAGAGCUUGCUCUUACGGGUGGCGAGUGGCGGACGGGUGAGGAAUACAUCGGAAUCUACUUUUUCGUGGGGGAUAACGUAGGGAAACUUACGCUAAUACCGCAUAUGACCUACGGGUGAAAGCAGGGGAUCUUCGGACCUUGCGCGAUUGAAUGAGCCGAUGUCGGAUUAGCUAGUUGGCGGGGUAAAGGCCCACCAAGGCGACGAUCCGUAGCUGGUCUGAGAGGAUGGUCAGCCACACUGGAACUGGGACACGGUCCAGACGCCUACGGGAGGCAGCAGUGGGGAAUAGUGGACAAGGGGGGCAAGCCUGAUCCAGCCAUACCGCGUGGGUGAAGAAGGCCCUCGGGUUGUAAAGCCCUUUUGUUGGGAAAGAAAAGCAGCAGGUUAAUACCCCGCUGUUCUGACGGUACCCAAAGAAUAAGCACCGGCUAACUUCGUG